ACCUGCCUGUAAGACUGGGAUAACUCCGGGAAACCGGGGCUAAUACCGGAUGCUUGUCUGAACCGCAUGGUUCAGACAUAAAAGGUGGCUUCGGCUACCACUUACAGAUGGACCCGCGGCGCAUUAGCUAGUUGGUGAGGUAACGGCUCACCAAGGCGACGAUGCGUAGCCGACCUGAGAGGGUGAUCGGCCACACUGGGACUGAGACACGGCCCAGACUCCUACGGGAGGCAGCAGUAGGGAAUCUUCCGCAAUGGACGAAAGUCUGACGGAGCAACGCCGCGUGAGUGAUGAAGGUUUUCGGAUCGUAAAGCUCUGUUGUUAGGGAAGAACAAGUGCCGUUCAAAUAGGGCGGCACCUUGACGGUACCUAACCAGAAAGCCACGGCUAACUACGUGCCAGCAGCCGCGGUAAUACGUAGGUGGCAAGCGUUGUCCGGAAUUAUUGGGCGUAAAGGGCUCGCAGGCGGUUUCUUAAGUCUGAUGUGAAAGCCCCCGGCUCAA
rnacentral:rRNA from 1 species